UACUUUCCUAAAAUAGUAUCGAUUAUAAAUUAACAAAAAAUAAGUUAAUUAGAAAGAGAAUUAUAAUGUGAUGAUGAUAAAAAACAACAAUUGGCAUUUAUCGUAAUUAAAACGUCGUGUUCUGGCAAAUUCCUGGAUAAAAAGAUGUUAUGGAUUAUCGAAUAAAAAAUGUUUAGAAUAGUGUACAUAUGAUUUGUUGAAUCAAGUUCUAGUAAUGCGAAGUUCUAUUGACAAAAAGAUGAUGCUUGUGAGAAACCAAACACUGAUACUGAUGAUAAAAAGCCCCGCAUUUUUGUGCUAUCUCAAUAAAAUUUAUGACAAACAUGUGUGUUUUUUUUUCUUUAAUUCUUUAUGUAUAACAUCGUGAAUUUUGAAGCAUAUGAAACAUUGAGAUAGCAGCAAUACAUAAGCAUGAAUAGAGUAAGGGAACUAGAAAAGAUAGAAGACAAGGAAGGCAAGGAAGACAAAGAAUAACUGGAAAGGUGAAAAUAGAAAAGGUUUCCUCUUACGAGGGGCACCUUACCAACAGUACCGAUAUAUAUCCCAGUAUAAAUGAGGACUAAAAAACAAAAGGUUACAGCAAGAAGAGUGUGAAAAAGGAAGAUAAACUGAUUCAAAAGAGGGCAUAAGCUGUUCGUUCGUACCAGGAGCCUAUGCUAUAAACAGAAUGUCAUUCUUGCUCUUUCCGCCGAGACGCGCGACUUCUCGUUAUCUCCUGUGCUCCUAAUACCGAAGACGCUACCAUAAGUGAUUGAUCCCAACAAAAAUAUAGUUGAUAACAAAAUUUGAACAAUAAUGAUUUACAUGAUAAAUAAACAAUGUUUAAUAUAAAUUUCUCAAAACAAUUUUAAUCAUACACAUAACAUUACAAAAUAUAAUAAUAUGAUUAUUACCUCAAAAUAUUAACACUAACGUUUACAAUGUAUUUCAUUUAUUUUGUACAUAACAUAAAUUUAUGUUUUAUCGCGAAAUAAAAAAUGAUUAUAGUUAUAAAAAUCAAUAAAUGUUACAGUAAUUACAUUGAACGUAAUAUAAUAUAUAAAAAAAAAAAUAUAUAUAUAUAUCAUUAAAGCAUGUGGACGUAGAAUUGUUUAACAAUUUCAUAUGUGACUCUAAUUGCAUUAAAUUACAUUUACAAAAAGUCAUUGUGUCAAGGUUUGAACGUUAGAUUAAAAAUUGUUUAAAACGUAAAAUCGUUAUUAUUUUACUUAAAUACGAAUGCUGCAACAUUGUAGCUUUUAAAACGCUUUUACAAACUUAGAAAAGAAACAUAAGAAUAAGUGCCAUUUUGAAUGAAUCACGUUCGUUUUUCUGUUACUAUGAAAUACUUAAUUUUUCAUUGAUUUUUAACAAUGAAAAUGUUUUAUAUUCCAUAUUAGGUAAAAAAAAAAUAAUACAGAUGAAUAUUUAUUAAUGCUAAUGUAAUAAAUAGAAGGGAAAGUAACAUAAUUGAACAGCGUUACAAAUUCGCAACAUUCGCGGAGUCUAAACCAAUGUGCAACAUGUUUUAUGUAUGUCGAUAGUCACGAGUUCAUAUUCUGUCCACUGGUCACAAAACUACAGAGAUGUUCUACAUAUGUAACUACGUAAGAUCAUCAAGAUAAGACAGAUAUUAGUCGUAUGGUCCAAUAAAAAAAUAUUAAUAGUAGUGUUGUAUAUAGUUUAAUGAAAACGUGUAACCGUACACAUGGAAGUAACAGGAGCGACAUUCUAAUAAAUUAGCAACACCGGAUGGCACAUACUAUCGCAUUUUAUUAGUUCUACAAUUGUUUGAUGUAUGCUUAAUAACGAUUUCUAUAAAAAUGACCGUUAAAUGUUUGUUCGUAAUUAGGUUCGAAAGGGAACCUGAACAGACGGUGUCUCAUGCGAGCAUACGUUGACACGGAUAUACACCGGUAAUACGUUGUGACGUUUCUAUUCGAUGGCUUCGAAUUGAUUACACCUUUAUCUGAUAGUUUAGAUAUAAUAUUCGUGCUCUGUAAUCGAAUAACUCUAAAGAUAUACAAAAAGUUUACACCCUGUAAGGUGUUCGGAUGACAUGCGGUAACCGCAACAUGACAAUUCGUUCGAACAACGGACACAAGUUCUUUGCAUUCUAUGCAUCGUGAAAAUGGGCGAUUCCAUUGGCAUUUUUUACAGUUUCUUGUCAAAAUGCGUGUGUGAAAUGAAAUUGUUAGCCGGUGUUUGAUGGUAACGAAAUGUCUUGGCAAACGUGACCGUAUGGAUGGGCAUUGUAGGUUUUGAUUUUCCUUUGGUGCAUUUACGAGUGAAAGGAAGAACUGACCUCGGCUGCUUUGAGAAGCUGUGCAUAGUUGAACUCAGGACAUGCCUUCUCGUUCGACUCUGGCAGGGUAAGUGUGAAGCGGAAGGAGGGCGCGAGCUGUUUGCCCUUUUCCCCUUUUUUCUCCUUCUUCGCGGCGUAGCCCAAGGACUCCGGAAACUCCAAGGUCUGCAGAGGUACCCGUUUAGCCUCUGACAUUCCUACAUUUGCACCGAACUCAACGCGGAUCACGGAAACACUGCGAACACUGCAGCAACAACAUGAUCCUUUCUCUCAAACAUUGCACCGACACCGCCACUUGCAUGUCGCCAUCUUCGGCUCGACUGUUUUUAGAGUGCGCUGUUGAUGCCGCCGCCACACCGUGAAUUCGCGCAUGCGUUUUGUCGAUGCAAAUAAUCUUAAGUACAAUUUUCAUCGAAUGAUAUAGGAUAUUUUACAUGGAAAGCGGACUUAAUUAGGGCAACAAAUUUAUUGAAAAUUAUAAAAACAGUACAACAAUGUUGCAUUGCAUUGCGAUUCAGCGUUUAAACGGUGCAUAUAUUUAGUUAGUGUACUGAAUGUUUCGAGGUAAAUUAGUUUUAUAUAUUUGUCCGGUAAUUUUAAUUCAUUAAUGUAAUUAAAUUACGAUAAUUUCAUUCUUACACAUUAUUUAUUGUACAAAACUGAUAAAAAUCUUUACAAGUCACAAUUACGUCUGUACAAUUCACUUAUGUAAAAGCUAUGUGUCUUUACAAAUAACCCUACUCUAGCAUAAUUCAUAUUCCAAUGCCUGCAAUGGUAAAAUCAUAUUAGUUUUACAAGUCAUAAAACGUUUAUCUAAAAUCAGAAUAAUGAAUUAAUGUCAUAUUAUAUUAAAAAUAUGUCGUCUAUAUGUAAACAAUAAAAAGCACUUUAAACAGUA